rnacentral:lncRNA from 1 species
GGGAGUCUGGUUUCUAGGCAGUAUAAAGCAACAGUAUUCCUUAUUAUGCCUGUGGCAAACAGCACUUCCUUUGCCCAAGUGGGAUGAAGAUGGGGAAUUUGGUCUUGUGGCCACAGUGAUGCCACCAUGUGCCCAACUAACAACCCAUUCAUCCCAUGGGAAUUGGGAAGUAAAAGUUACCAGUGUCUUCAAGAGGGAGCAGGGCAACCCAAAACACUUAUCUUUGUGAGGUGUGUGUGUGUAGGUUGAUUUUAUUUCAUCCAAAGAAAGAAUGCGAACAUAGGAGCAAGGAAGGACUUUGCAGUUUUAAAUCGGAUGGUGCAGAUAGAGCCACGGAGUUUCCUCGUGUUCGAAAGUAGCGUGCCAAUCUGUGAAGCAGCUUCAUUCAUGGACAUGAGAACCUGUGCUGGAUAAAUGCAGAGACCAGCAGGGAACCAAGAGGGCUGCAAGCAGCAUGAGGAUAGUAUUUGACUGACGACGGUGUGCAGAGUUGGUGUUCUAAAAGCACUUGUGACUUGGAGG